rnacentral:rRNA from 1 species
CCUACGGGUGGCAGCAGUGGGGGAUAUUGCACAAUGGGGGGAACCCUGAUGCAGCGACGCCGCGUGGGUGAAGAAGUGCCUCGGCGCGUAAAGCCCUGUCAGCAGGGAAGAAAAUGACGGUACCUGUAGCAGAAGCCCCGGCUACCUACGUGCCAGCAGCCGCGGUAAUACGGCGGGGGCAAGCGUUAUCAGGAUGUACUGGGGUUAACGGGGGCGCAGACGGGGAUGCAAGCUAGGAGUUAAAGCUCGGGGCCCAACCCCGGGACUGCUCUUGGAACUGCGUGUGUGGAGUGCGGGAGGGGCAGGCGGAAUGCCUGGUGUAGCGGUGAAAUGCGUAGAUAUCAGGAGGAACACCGGUUGCGAAGGCGGCCUGCUGGACUGCAACUGACGUUGAGGCCCGAAAGCGUGGGGAGCGAACAGGAUUAGAUACCCCGGUAGUC